rnacentral:rRNA from 1 species
GGCGAACGCUGGCGGCAGGCCUAACACAUGCAAGUCGAACGAUCCUUCGGGAUAGUGGCGGACGGGUGAGUAACACGUGGGAACGUGCCCUUUGGUUCGGAACAACUCAGGGAAACUUGAGCUAAUACCGGAUGUGCCCUUCGGGGGAAAGAUUUAUCGCCAUUGGAGCGGCCCGCGUAGGAUUAGCUAGUUGGUGGGGUAAUGGCCCACCAAGGCUCCGAUCCUUAGCUGGUCUGAGAGGAUGAUCAGCCACACUGGGACUGAGACACGGCCCAGACUCCUACGGGAGGCAGCAGUGGGGAAUCUUGCGCAAUGGGCGAAAGCCUGACGCAGCCAUGCCGCGUGAAUGAUGAAGGUCUUAGGAUUGUAAAGUUCUUUAGCCUGUGACGAUGAUGACGGUAACAGGAGAAUAAGCCCCGGCUAACUUCGUGCCAGCAGCCGCAGUAAAAC